CGGCGCGCUGGCGCGGUCGAAUGCCCCGGCCGCCUCUGGCGCGGCGGCGUUUGACGCCAACGCCUUCGUUCAGAUCGGCGCCGACGGCGUCGUC
rnacentral:tRNA from 1 species